rnacentral:rRNA from 1 species
CACGUAGGGCGCAAGCGUUGUCCGGAAUUAUUGGGCGUAAAGAGCUCGUAGGCGGUCUGUUGCGUCUGCUGUGAAAACCCGGGGCUUAACCCCUGGCUUGCAGUGGAUACGGACAGACUAGAGGUAGGUAGGGGAGAAUGGAAUUCCCGGUGUAGCGGUGAAAUGCGUAGAGAUCGGGAGGAACACCCGUGGCGAAGGCGGCCAUCUGGACCAGCACUGACGCUGAGGCACGAAAGCGUGGGGAGCAAACAGG